rnacentral:rRNA from 1 species
GACGAACGCUGGCGGCGUGGAUUAGGCAUGCAAGUCGAACGGUAUCAUCCUUUCGGGGGUGAGAGAGUGGCGAACUGGUGAGUAACACGUAGGUUAUCUACCCUCAAGACGGGGACAACCCAGGGAAACUUGGGCUAAUACCGGAUGUGAGCAACUUUUAGUUGUUUGAAAGGUGGCGUAAGCUGUCGCUUGGGGAUGAGCCUGCGUCCUAUUAGUUAGUUGGUGAGGUAACGGCUCACCUAGGCAAUGAUAGGUAGGCGGCCUUAACGGGUGGUCGCCCACACUGGGAUUGAGAUACGGCCCAGACUCCUACGGGAGGCAGCAGUCGAGAAUAGUCUACAAUGGUCGGAAGACUGAUAGUGCGACGCCGCGUGAACGAUGAAUCCCUUCGGGGUGUAAAAGUUCUUUUAUAUGUGAGCAGUGCUUCUUAUAUUAACAGUAUGGGGAGAGAGAUAUUAGCAUAUGAAUAAGCAAACGGCUAAACUCCGUGCCCAGCAGCCGCGGU